rnacentral:rRNA from 1 species
AAUAUUGCGCAAUGGGGGAAACCCUGACGCAGCAACGCCGCGUGAGCGAUGAAGGNCUNNGGGUCNUNAAGCUCUGUCCUUGGNNNNNAAUAAUGACAGUACCCAAGGAGGAAGCCCCGGCUAACUACGUGCCAGCAGCCGCGGUAAUACGUAGGGGGCAAGCGUUGUCCGGAAUUACUGGGCGUAAAGGGCGCGUAGGCGGUCUUGUAAGUCAGAUGUGAAAGUCCAGGGCUCAACCGUGGAAUUGCAUUUGAAACUAUAGGACUUGAGUGCAGGAGAGGAGAGCGGAAUUCCUAGUGUAGCGGUGAAAUGCGUAGAGAUUAGGAAGAACACCAGUGGCGAAGGCGGCUCUCUGGACUGUAACUGACGCUGAGGCGCGAAAGCGUGGGUAGCGAACA